AUUGAACGCUGGUGGCAUGCUUUACACAUGCAAGUCGAACGGCAGCGCGGGCUUCGGCCUGGCGGCGAGUGGCGAACGGGUGAGUAAUACAUCGGAACGUGCCCAGUAGUGGGGGAUAGCUCGGCGAAAGCCGGAUUAAUACCGCAUACGACCUGAGGGUGAAAGCGGGGGAUCUUCGGAUCUCGCGCUAUUGGAGCGGCCGAUGGCAGAUUAGCUAGUUGGUGGGGUAAAGGCCUACCAAGGCGACGAUCUGUAGCUGGUCUGAGAGGACGACCAGCCACACUGGGACUGAGACACGGCCCAGACUCCUACGGGAGGCAGCAGUGGGGAAUUUUGGACAAUGGGCGAAAGCCUGAUCCAGCAAUGCCGCGUGUGUGAUGAAGGCCUUCGGGUUGUAAAGCACUUUUGGCGGGAACGAAAAGGACUGUGCCAAUACCACGGUUCGAUGACGGUACCCGUAGAAUAAGCACCGGCUAACUACGUG
rnacentral:rRNA from 1 species